UGGGGAAUAUUGGACAAUGGGCGAAAGCCUGAUCCAGCCAUGCCGCGUGAGUGAUGAAGGCCCUAGGGUUGUAAAGCUCUUUUGUGCGGGAAGAUAAUGACGGUACCGCAAGAAUAAGCCCCGGCUAACUUCGUGCCAGCAGCCGCGGUAAUACGAAGGGGGCUAGCGUUGCUCGGAAUCACUGGGCGUAAAGGGUGCGUAGGUGGGUCUUUAAGUCAGAGGUGAAAUCCUGGAGCUCAACUCCAGAACUGCCUUUGAUACUGAGGGUCUUGAGUUCGGGAGAGGUGAGUGGAACUGCGAGUGUAGAGGUGAAAUUCGUAGAUAUUCGCAAGAACACCAGUGGCGAAGGCGGCUCACUGGCCCGAUACUGACACUGAGGCACGAAAGCGUGGGGAGCAAACAGGAUUAGAUACCCGUGUAGUCCCUGAGCGGGCUGGCAAGGCGCAU
rnacentral:rRNA from 1 species